AGAGUUUGAUUCUGGCUCAGGACGAACGCUGGCGGUGUGCCUCAUACAUGCAAGUCGAACGAGAAGUACCUUCGGGUAAUGGAAAGUGGCGGACGGGUGAGUACAACAUAGGAAAUCUGCCCUAAAGCGGGGGACAACAGAGGGAAACUCCUGCUAAUACCCCAUAUGAGCUUAGUUGAAAUACUAAUCUUGAAAGAUUUAUCACUUUAGGAUGAGCCUGUGCCUGAUUAGCUGGUUGGUGGUGUAAUGGACUACCAAGGCGACGAUCAGUAGCUGGUUUGAGAGGAUGAUCAGCCACAAUGGGACUGAGACACGGCCCAUACUCCUACGGGAGGCAGCAGUAGGGAAUUUUGCGCAAUGGGGGAAACCCUGACGCAGCAACACCGCGUGAAUGUUAAGCCCUUCGGGGUGUAAAGGUCUGUCAGUGGGGACGAACGAUGACGGUACCCACAGAGGAAGCACCGGCUAACUCCGUGCCAGCCGCGGC
rnacentral:rRNA from 1 species